rnacentral:rRNA from 1 species
GUCUCAGGCCGUAUCAGCCUGAAGGCGCUCGAUCUCGUCUGAUCUCGGAAGCUAAGCAGGGUCGGGCCUGGUUAGGAUCUUGGAUGGGAGACCACCUGGGAAUCCCGGGUGCUCGAGGCU